rnacentral:tRNA from 1 species
UGGCUCAGUCAGUGGAGCAUGUGACUUUUGAUCUCAGGGUCGUAAGUUCAAACCUUAC